GAUGAAGAACGUAGCGAAGUGCGAUAAGUAAUGUGAAUUGCAGAAUUCCGUGAAUCAUCGAAUCUUUGAACGCAAAUUGCACUUUCUGGUAUUCCGGAAAGUAUGCCUGUUUGAGGGUCAGUUAAAUAAAAAUCGGUGUUGUUGCUGCUUUUCGUGGUGACGCAUCGGAAUUGGGUCGUCUUACCUUCGGUUAAGUGACUUAAAAUUUUUUAUGAUUUUGAACGUAUUUAAAUUUUUUUGUACGUUUGAGAUAUCGAAUGUUUUAUUAGGUUCGGUCAUCCUCAUGACUCGCGCCUAUAAUUUUCAUUAAAUGACCUCAAAUCAGGUAAGAAUACCCGCUGAACUUAAGCAUAUCAAUAAGCGGAGGA
rnacentral:misc_RNA from 1 species